GCGGGAGUGGUGGAAUUGGUAGACACGCUGGAUUUAGGUUCCAGUGCUGAAAAGUGUGAGAGUUCGAGUCUCUCCUUCCGCACCA
rnacentral:tRNA from 1 species